UAACUCUCAACUCCCAGUAAAUCGAGCUCGAGUUCGGGGAUUAGUAGGGUUUGUGAGCGACUAUCCACAGAGGUAAGAGUUCGAGCCCUUAAGUUGUUUUAUUUGAUUAUAGCAUAAUGUCGAGUAGUGGUAGCACAGGGUCAAGUAGUAGUGACAGUAGUCAGGCUCCUAAGGACUCGAACCAUAGUGAUAGGCCUGAAGAUGUAAAUAC
rnacentral:lncRNA from 1 species